rnacentral:rRNA from 1 species
UACGUAGGGGGCAAGCGUUGUCCGGAAUCAUUGGGCGUAAAGAGCGUGUAGGCGGUUCGGUAAGUCGGCUGUGAAAGUCCAGGGCUCAACCCUGGGAUGCCGGUCGAUACUGCCGGACUAGAGUUCGGAAGAGGAGAGUGGAAUUCCCGGUGUAGCGGUGAAAUGCGCAGAUAUCGGGAAGAACACCCGUGGCUAAGGCGGCUCUCUAGUACGGUACUGACGCUGAGACGCGAAAGCGUGGGGAGCGAACAGG